CAAAAAUAUGUGUGCACGACUGCGUGCUUGGUCUCACACCUCGUUCUCCUCCUCGUUCAAUAACCACCGGUUUUCACUCUAUCAAUAAUUUCAAUGGUGCUUUUCCUAUUUUAUUUUCAUUUUAAUGCAGUUUCAUAGAUCUAUUGUAUAUUGAUUCAUUCUUAAUUUAGUUACCUGGUAUGCACCUGUUGUUAAGGGAAUAUAAUCCCACAUCGGUAAAAUACCGAAAUAAUGACCAAUAUAUAAAGGAUUGGGACACUCCUCUUAACAAGGUUGACCUUAUUAAGAUGGACCCCAAGUCUUGACACCUGUUAUCAUGUUCAGUUCAUAUAUUGUUAUUCUAUGAAAUUGUUGUUCUGCGCAUUCGUGUAGCUUAGCUAUCUUAUUUUAUAUGUUUAUCGGCGUCCCAUCUUUGUUGAAAAAAUGCUUCUGUGAAUAUGUUUUUGUUUGGGUGAAUCUAUUUUUCUGUUCCGUUUGAAUUUUAAUAUGUAUAAUUAUGAGGUAGACGGAUAUGUAGGGAUUUUCAUGUCACUAGCAUUGAGAUUUGGAUGGAAUUUUUGUGAAUUUUUUAUUCUUUCGAGCCUGUAUGCAUAACAUUUUUCUUUUCUUUUUCUUUUUUUAAAUUUUCUCAUGAUAAAUGAAGUACGUGAAUUUUCAUGGAUUUACAGCUACUUACUANCCCCCCCCCCCCCCCGGCUCACUCGCCAAAAAUCUGUGUGCACGACUGCGUGCUUGGUCUCACACCUCGUUCUCCUCCUCGUUCAAUAACCACCGGUUUUCACUCAAUCAAUAAUUUCAAAGGUGCUUUUCCUAUUUUAUUUUCAUUUUAAUGCAGUUUUAUAGAUCUAUUGUCUAUUGAUUCAUUCUUAAUUUAGUUACCUGGUAUGCACCUGUUAUCAUGUUCAGUUCAUCUAUUGUUAUUCUAUGAAAUUGUUGUUCUGCGCAUUCGUGUAGCUUAGCUAUCUUAUUUUAUAUGUUUAUCGGCGUC
rnacentral:lncRNA from 1 species